UUAGAAGAUCGGAUGGCUGCGGCAGCAAUGUCGAGGAAAGUCCGGGCUUCAUGGAAAAACGGUGCCGGCUAACGGCCGGGGGGCGAGAGCCUACGGACAGUGCAACAGAGAGCAAACCGCCUAUUUAUAGGUAAGGGUGAAAGGGUGCGGUAAGAGCGCACCGCGUGACCGGUAACGGAAGCGGCAUGGUAAACCCCACCGGAAGCAAGACCGAAUAGGAACACAUUUACGCGCUUUUCCACGCUGUGUUCGGGUUGGUCGCUAGAGCGUAUUGGUAACGAUACGCGGAGAUGAAUAGCCAUCGCCCCUUUUGGGGAGACAGAACCCGGCUUACAGAUCUUCUUAUACU
rnacentral:RNase_P_RNA from 1 species